rnacentral:rRNA from 1 species
CGGGAGGCAGCAGUGAGGAAUAUUGCACAAUGGGGGGAACCCUGAUGCAGCAACGCCGCGUGAAGGAUGAAGGUCCUUGGAUUGUAAAUUUCUUUUAACGGGGAAGAGGAAGGACGGUACCCGUUGAAUAAGUCACGGCUAACUACGUGCCAGCAGCCGCGGUAAUACGUAGGUGGCGAGCGUUAUCCGGAAUUAUUGGGCGUAAAGGGCGCGCAGGCGGCCAUUUAAGUUUGACGUGAAAGCUCCUGGCUUAACUGGGAGAGGUCGUUGGAAACUGAAUGGCUUGAGGCAAUGAGAGGGGUGCGGAAUUCCCGGUGUAGUGGUGGAAUGCGUAGAUAUCGGGAGGAACACCAGUGGCGAAAGCGGCACCCUGGCAUUGGACUGACGCUGAAGUGCGAAAGCGUGGGGAGCGAACGGGAUUAGAUACCCCGGUAGUCCACGCUGUAAACGAUGAGCACUAGGUGUGGGUAGUGUUAAAGCUAUCUGUGCCGAAGCAAACGCGAUAAGUGCUCCGCCUGGGGAGUACGGCCGCAAGGCUAAAACUCAAAGGAAUUGACGG